GGAUGAGAUAGAGCGACGCCGCGUGGGGGAUGAAUGGCUUCGGCCCGUAAACCCCUGUCAUUUUGCGAACAAACCUGGUGGUUGAACAAACUACCAGCUGAUAGUAGCAGAAGAGGAAGGGACGGCUAACUCUGUGCCAGCAGCCGCGGUAAUACAGAGGUCCCAAGCGUUGUUCGGAUUCACUGGGCGUAAAGGGUGCGUAGGCGGUGGGGUAAGUUUGAGGUGAAAUCUCCGGGCUCAACCCGGAAAU
rnacentral:rRNA from 1 species